GUUUAUAGUGUAGCGGUUAUCACGUCGGGUUGACAUGCUGAAGGUCCUCAGUUCGACCCUGGGUGAGAACA
rnacentral:tRNA from 1 species